AUUGAACGCUGGCGGCAGGCUUAACACAUGCAAGUCGAGCGGGGUGAUGGUGCUUGCACUAUCACUUAGCGGCGGACGGGUGAGUAAUGCUUAGGAAUCUGCCUAUUAGUGGGGGACAACAUCUCGAAAGGGAUGCUAAUACCGCAUACGUCCUACGGGAGAAAGCAGGGGAUCACUUGUGACCUUGCGCUAAUAGAUGAGCCUAAGUCGGAUUAGCUAGUUGGUGGGGUAAAGGCCGACCAAGGCGACGAUCUGUAGCGGGUCUGAGAGGAUGAUCCGCCACGCUGGGACUGAGACACGGCCCAGACGCCGACGGGAGGCAGCAGUGGGGAAUAUUGGACAAUGGGGGGAACCCUGAUCCAGCCAUGCCGCGUGUGUGAAGAGGGCCUUAUGGUUGUAAAGCACUUUAAGCGAGGAGGAGGCUCUUUUGGUUAAUACCCAAGAUGAGUGGACGUUACUCGCAGAAUAAGCACCGGCUAACUCUGUGCCAGCCGCCGCCGUAA
rnacentral:rRNA from 1 species